AACGAACGCUGGCGGCAGGCUUAACACAUGCAAGUCGAACGCCCCGCAAGGGGAGUGGCAGACGGGUGAGUAACGCGUGGGAAUCUACCCAUCUCUACGGAAUAACGCAUGGAAACGUGUGCUAAUACCGUAUACGUCCUUCGGGAGAAAGAUUUAUCGGAGAUGGAUGAGCCCGCGUUGGAUUAGCUAGUUGGUGGGGUAAAGGCCUACCAAGGCGACGAUCCAUAGCUGGUCUGAGAGGAUGAUCAGCCACACUGGGACUGAGACACGGCCCAGACUCCUACGGGAGGCAGCAGUGGGGAAUAUUGGACAAUGGGCGCAAGCCUGAUCCAGCCAUGCUGCGUGAGUGAUGAAGGCCCUAGGGUUGUAAAGCUCUUUCACCGGUGAAGAUAAUGAUGGUAACCGGAGAAGAAGCCCCGGCUAACUUCGUGCCAGCCGCCGCCGUAAUAC
rnacentral:rRNA from 1 species